GGUAUGAAGCUGGCUGAAAAAUACAAAGAAAAAUCAGAGAUAUGCAAUGCUAUCGGAUCACACCAUGAUGAGGUGGAGAUGAAUACUCUGAUUGCCCCGAUAGUACAGGU
rnacentral:rRNA from 1 species